GACGAACGCUGGCGGCGUGCUUAACACAUGCAAGUCGAACGGAAAGGCCCUGCUUUUGUGGGGUUCUCGAGUGGCGAACGGGUGAGAAACACGUGAGUAUCCUGCCCUUGACUUUGUGAUAACUUCAGGAAACUGCGGCUAAUACCGGAUAGGAGCUCCUGCAGCAUGGUGGGGGUUGGAAAGUUUCGGCGGUUGUGGAUGGACUGGCGGCUUAUCAGCUUGUUGGUGGGGUAGUUGCUUACCAAGGCUUCGACGGGUAGCCGGCCUGAGAGGGUGACCGGCGACAAGGGGACUGAGGGACGGACCAGACGGCAACGGGAGGCAGCAGUGGGGAAUCUUGCACAGUGGGCGGGAGCCUGAGACAGCAGCCCCGGGUGCGGGAUGACGGCUUACGGGUGGUAAACCGCUUUCGCCUGAGACGAAGCGGUAGUGACGGUAAUGGGUAAAGAAGCACCGGCUAACUACGUG
rnacentral:rRNA from 1 species